UACGUAGGGUGCAAGCGUUGUCCGGAAUUAUUGGGCGUAAAGAGCUCGUAGGCAGUCUGUCGCGUCGGCUGUGAAAUCCCGAGGCUCAACCUCGGGUCUGCAGUCGAUACGGGCAAACUAGAGGAUUGCAGGGGAGACUGGAAUUCCUGGUGUAGCGGUGAAAUGCGUAGAUAUCUGGAGGAACACCGGUGGCGAAGGCGGCGUCCUGGACCGAUAUUGACGCUGAUGCGCGAAAGCCAGGGGAGCAAACGGG
rnacentral:rRNA from 1 species